ACCUUACUGUCAGGCACACAGUAAGAUUGAAAUGACACAGAGAAGAUUAGCAUGGCUUCUGUGCAAUGAUGACACACAAAUCUAUGAACUGUUCCACACUUAA